rnacentral:sRNA from 1 species
UUUCAAUCUGGUCGGGGCUGAUGAAGUGGAUGUGGGUGUCGAUACCGCCAGCGGUCAGAAUCUUGCCCUCACCUGCCACGAUAUCGGUUGCCACACCAAUAGGAAUGGUCACACCAUCCAUGGUGUGCGGGUUGCCUGCUUUACCGAUUGCCAUAAUGUGACCGUCGCGGACAGCAACGUCAGCCUUGUAAAUACCGGUGUAGUCAAUGACCACAACGUUGGUGAUCACGAGAUCGGGAAUACCCAUAUCGCGCACCAUGUGGCUGUUCUGGCCCAUGCCGUCAC